rnacentral:rRNA from 2 species
CUUGAAUUCCUAUAAGAGGUCCAGCCUGCCCAGUGACUUUGUUCAACGGCCGCGGUAUCCUAACCGUGCGAAGGUAGCGUAAUCACUUGUCUUUUAAAUGAGGACUUGUAUGAAUGGCAUCACGAGGGUUAUACUGUCUCCUUUUUCUAAUCAGUGAAACUAAUCUUCCCGUGAAGAAGCGGGAAUAAACAUAUAAGACGAGAAGACCCUAUGGAGCUUUAAACUUAAUAACAAAUACUAACCUUACUUCAACUUCCAGAACAUUAAUCUUAAUUUUAGUAUUAUGUUUAUUAGUUUUAGGUUGGGGUGACCGCGGAGUAAAAAUUAACCUCCAUAUUGAAUAGGACUUGUCCUUGAGCUAAGAACUACAACCCUAAGCACCAACAAAUUGACAUUAAUUGACCCAAUAUUUUGAUCAACGAAC